CUCUCCGUAGUUUAGUGUGGUUUAGAGCGUCAGACUGUAAUCAUCUGAAAGUCGUGCGUUCGACUCGCACCGGGGAGA
rnacentral:tRNA from 1 species